rnacentral:lncRNA from 1 species
AGCAUGGGAGGCGGUUGUGGCGUGGGAUCUAGGGUGUCUGCAGCGGACUCGGCGGCCCUGUGAGGCGCUCGGCCCGCCGGACCCCGCGUGAAGCUGGUCGCUGUGGAAGCCGAGCGCCGUUUGGGAUGUAGAUCUCCGCCAUAAGCCCAGGCACAGAACUGGGCGGGAAUAAAGCGAAGACCCAGGUCACACGGAUGUCCUUGAUUUGGAAAUUUGAUCUACAGAAGCACGAGUGAUUUAAAUUUUCUAGGGGCCGUGUCAAAACUCCAUAGAUGAAUGCUCAUUUGUAACAAGGCUAUGAAUAAAU